AACAACCGUGAUUCCGGGAGUAGUGGCGAGCGAAACUGGAUGAGGCCAAACCGUAUGCGUGUGAUACCCGGCAGGGGUUGCGCAUACGGGGUUGUGGGAUCUCUCUUUCAUAGUCUGCCGACUGUGAGACGAGUCAGAAACCGUUGAUGUAGGCGAAGGACAUGCGAAAGGUCCGGCGUAGAGGGUAAGACCCCCGUAGCUGAAACAUCAACGGCUCGUUUGAGAGACACCCAAGUAGCACGGGGCCCGAGAAAUCCCGUGUGAAUCUGGCGGGACCACCCGCUAAGCCUAAAUAUUCCCUGGUGACCGAUAGCGGAUAGUACCGU
rnacentral:rRNA from 1 species